CUCCGCUGCCUCUGCCAGGGCUGGCGCUGUCUUGGCAACUGCCUUGGCGCAGCGCGAGCCUGGGUCCCCCGCACUUCCCGCAGCGGCGGCAGCGGCAGCAGGGAGCGGCGGCCAGCGGUGGCGGGCUCCAGGGAGAGCGGCGGGCGCCCCGGCAGAGGCGGCGCUUCCAGCUCGGCCCCUGGGCUCUGGUGACCCGCCCUCGAGUCCUGCCCCGCGUCGGAGCGGCCGUCGGUCCCGGGACUGACCCGGCCUCGCUGCCUCUUCCCUCCCCGCCCCGCCUCAACCCGCAUCCCUCCGGAGCCCCGAUUCGCUUGCGCCCAACUCCUCGGCGGGGUGGCGGCGGCCGGGCCCCCACGGCGUCGGUCGGAGCAGUCGCAGCCCCGGAACACGCCUCUAUGAUGAAGUUCAAGCCCAACCAGAUGCGGACCUACGACCGUGAGGGCUUCAAGAAGCGGGCGGCGUGCUGUGCUUCCAGAGCGAGCAGGAGGACGCGGUGCUGCUGGUGAGUAGCAGUCGGUACCCCGACCAGCGGAUUGUCCCAGGAGGAGGGAUGGAGCCAGAGGAGGAGCCUGGAGGUGCUGCUGUGAGGGAAGUUUAUGAGGAGGCUGGAGUCAAAGGAAAAUUAGGCAGACUCCUGGGCAUAUUUGAGCAGAACCAAGACGGAAAGCACAGAACAUAUGUUUAUGUUCUUACAGUCACCGAAAUAUGAGAAGACUGGGAAGAUUCUGUUAAUAUAGGAAGGAAGAGAGAGUGGUUCAAAGUAGAAGAUGUAAUCAAAGUUCUACAGUGUCAUAGACCCGUACAUGCAGAGCAUCUGGAAAAACGAAAGCUUGGCUGUUCCCCAACCAAUGGAAACUCUACAGUCCCUUCCCUUCUAGGUAAUAAGGCCUUGCUUGUGACUGCUGCACAGACUUCUGGGGUGCCACCCGGUAUAAGAUAGGAAGAAUUUGGAGGCCUUCUCUACCACAUGUGAUCUCAUGGGGAGAGGCUCCUUCACUUUCUUUGGAAAACAUCUGAAUGACGCAAACUGAAUUUGCCAUGCAGGGAUUUCAAACAGUUUUGCAUGUAUUUCAGAUGCUUUCAAGUCUUUUAAAACAGAAUAGUGUAAAAAUAUUUUAAGAACCCAAAGCCAUGUGGGACUUUUUUUUUUUUUAAGAUGCCUUAACUGUGCCCCACCCGUUAUUUUGGUGGCUGUUUUUCACAGAAUUUUUUCAGUUUUGUCAUUGACAUCAGUCUGGUUUGUCAGAUCAAUUUGCUUAUAGGUAUAUUUUCCCCCUAAAUUGUUGCCUCCGCUGCACUGACAUAAAGAAACAUCCAUCCCCAAACUUCAUAAGAUCACAUUCUUAAUUCCUAAAUUUAAGGCUUGAGAUUUUUCUGUAUAGUCCAAUAACUGAAAAAGGAUUUUUGAUUUGCUGUUUUCAGG